UACGUAGGGUGCAAGCGUUGUCCGGAAUUAUUGGGCGUAAAGAGCUCGUAGGCGGUCUGUCGCGUCUGCUGUGAAAACCCGAGGCUCAACCUCGGGCCUGCAGUGGGUACGGGCAGACUAGAGUGCGGUAGGGGAGACUGGAAUUCCUGGUGUAGCGGUGAAAUGCGCAGAUAUCAGGAGGAACACCGGUGGCGAAGGCGGGUCUCUGGGCCGAUACUGACGCUGAGGAGCGAAAGCGUGGGGAGCGAACAGG
rnacentral:rRNA from 1 species